rnacentral:rRNA from 1 species
CCAGCUCCAAUAGCGUAUAUUUAAGUUGUUGCAGUUAAAAAGCUCGUAGUUGGAUUUCGGGUGGGUUGGCUAGGUCCGCCUCUGGUGUGCACUUGGUCGAUCCACCUUCCUGCCGGGGACGGGCUCCUGGGCUUCACUGUCUGGGACUCGGAGUCGGCGAUGUUACUUUGAGUAAAUUAGAGUGUUCAAAGCAAGCCUACGCUCUGAAUACGUUAGCAUGGAAUAACGCGAUAGGACUCUGGCCUAUCCGUUGGUCUGUGGGACCGGAGUAAUGAUUAAGAGGGACAGUCGGGGGCAUUCGUAUUCCGUUGUCAGAGGUGAAAUUCUUGGAUUUACGGAAGACGAACUACUGCGAAAGCAUUUGCCAAGGAUGUUUUCA